rnacentral:rRNA from 1 species
UACGUAGGGUGCAAGCGUUGUCCGGAAUUAUUGGGCGUAAAGAGCUCGUAGGCGGUUUGUCGCGUCUGCCGUGAAAGUCCGGGGCUCAACUCCGGGAUCUGCGGUGGGUACGGGCAGACUAGAGUGAUGUAGGGGGAGACUGGAAUUCCUGGUGUAGCGGUGAAAUGCGCAGAUAUCAGGAGGAACACCCGAGGCGAAGGCGGCUCUCUGGGUCGUACCUGACGCUGAGGCGCGAAAGCGUGGGGAGCGAACGGG